GCCUUGAUGGUGAAAUGGUAGACACGCGAGACUCAAAAUCUCAUGCUGAAGAGCGUGGAGGUUCGAGUCCUCUUCAAGGCA
rfam:Triticum aestivum genome assembly, contig: Triticum_aestivum_CS42_TGACv1_scaffold_462047_5DS